UGGGGAAUAUUGGACAAUGGAGGAAACUCUGAUCCAGCAAUUCUGUGUGUGUGAAGAAGGUUUUAGGACUGUAAAACACUUUUAGUAGGGAAGAAAAAAAUGACGGUACUUACAGAAGAAGCAACGGCCAAAUACGUGCCAGCAGCAGCGGUAAUACGUAUGUUGUGAGCGUUAUCCGGAAUUAUUGGGCUUAAAGGGCAUCUAGGCGGUAAGACAAGUUGAAGGUGAAAACCUGUGGCUCAACCAUAGGCUUGCCUACAAAACUGUUGAACUAGAGUACUGGAAAGGUGGGUGGAACUACACGAGUAGAGGUGAAGUUCGUAGAUAUGUGUAGGAAUGCCGAUGAUGAAGAUAACUCACUGGACGGAAACUGACGCUGAAGUGCGAAAGCUAGGGGAGCAAACAGG
rnacentral:rRNA from 1 species